UGCCUACGGGACGCAACAGUGAGGAAUAUUGGUCAAUGGCCGAGAGGCUGAACCAGCCAAGUCGCGUGAGGGAAGACGGCCCUACGGGUUGUAAACCUCUUUUGUCGGGGAGCAAAGCGAACCACGUGUGGUUCAUUGAGAGUACCCGAAGAAAAAGCAUCGGCUAACUCCGUGCCAGCAGCCGCGGUAAUACGGAGGAUCCGAGCGUUAUCCGGAUUUAUUGGGUUUAAAGGGUGCGUAGGCGGUUUGAUAAGUUAGAGGUGAAAUGUCGGGGCUCAACCCCGAAACUGCCUCUAAUACUGUUG
rnacentral:rRNA from 1 species